rnacentral:rRNA from 1 species
GGGACUGAGACACGGCCCAAACUCCUACGGGAGGCAGCAGUGGGGAAUCUUGCACAAUGGAGGAAACUCUGAUGCAGCGAUGCCGCGUGAGUGAAGAAGGCCUUUGGGUUGUAAAGCUCUUUCGUCGGGGAAGAAAAUGACUGUACCCGAAUAAGAAGG